GAGAGACCUGUAAACAGGCCUCUUACACCUUGCUCCCUAAGAAUCUGCCUCGUCAAACUCCACGGUCCUACGCGAGGUCUCUGAGAAAUAACGAUGCUUGUUCGACUUCCAUCAUCGCUUGCAGCUUGCACUUUAUCAAUUCCGUUGGACACAGCGUCAACGAAGAGAAGAAUGCGGCAAAAAAGCCGGCCCAAGCGUUGCUGAAGGAACUCAAGUCUUUCACGUUUUGUACACCUGUAAAAAAGGAAUAUUAACCAUUGAAUUAAAAUUUUUGUUAUAUACA